AGGUGUAAAAAUAUCGUAUAAUCCUCCAGAUAUGGUGGAGGAGUCUCUACCUUAGCACCGUAAAGGCUAAGACUAUGAUAGGAUUGCC
rnacentral:ncRNA from 1 species